GUAAGGAAUAUUGGUCAAUGGUGGGAACACUGAACCAGCCAUUCCGCGUGAAGGAUGAAUGCCCUCUGGGUUGUAAACUUCUUUAGUCUGGGACGAAAAAGCUUCAUUCAUGAAGAACUGACGGUACCAGAAGAAUAAGCACCGGCUAACUCCGUGCCAGCAGCCGCGGUAAUACGGAGGGUGCAAGCGUUAUCCGGAAUCACUGGGUUUAAAGGGUGCGUAGGCGGCGUUAUAAGUCAGGAGUGAAAUUCCACGGCUCAACUGUAGGAACUGCUUUUGAUACUGUAAUGCUUGAACCAAGAUGAGGUAGGCGGAAUGUGACAUGUAGCGGUGAAAUGCAUAGAUAUGUCAUAGAACACCAAUUGCGAAGGCAGCUUACUAGACUUGAGUUGACGCUGAGGCACGAAAGCGUGGGGAGCAAACAGGAUUAGAAACCCCAGUAGUCC
rnacentral:rRNA from 1 species